rnacentral:rRNA from 1 species
CGUUGAUNCGUGAGAAUCCUUUACCAAAGGCUCAAAAGGGGGAGUGAACAGGUUUAGAGCAUAGACUUUUCUUCGGACAAUUUACAAGGUGAUGCAUGGUUGUCGUCAGCUCGUGCCGUGAGGUGUCAGGUUAAGUCCUAUAACGAGCGCAACCCCUAUUGUUAGUUGCCAGCGAGUGAUGUCGGGAACUCUAGCAAGACUGCCAGUGCAAACUGUGAGGAAGGUGGGGAUGACGUCAAAUCAUCACGGCCCUUACGUCUUGGGCUACACACGUGCUACAAUGGCCAGUACAGAAAGCAGCUACCAGGCAACUGGAUGCGAAUCUCAAAAGCUGGUCUCAGUUCGGAUUGGAGUCUGCAACUCGACUCCAUGAAGCUGGAAUCGCUAGUAAUCGGAUAUCAGCCAUGAUCCGGUGAAUACGUUCCCGGGCCUUGUACACACCGCCCGUCAAGCCAUGGAAGCUGGGGGUACCUGAAAGUCGGUCGUUU